CCCAGGAUUAGGUUGUUUGCCUUCCAUUGACACUUAAAGUUCCCUGAGCUGCCCUCUGUUCUGGAAGGACCUCAGCUAGUGAGUUUCUGUGCUUCUGUGUCUAUUUCCCUGUCAUAGGCUCCUCAAGGACUGCCCUGCAUUUUGAGUCACCUUUGUAUCAUCAGCAGUUCCUACUGCCCACAUUCAACUUUGUCAAGGGCAUUAUUGUGGAGAGAAGGAUUUCUGGAGAGCAGUCUUGAAGCAGGAAUAGAAAUUUGCUGAGGAUGAAGGGAGUGAGAAAUGUUCCCAGCAUGGAAAGCAGCGUGCAAAGGCUGGGGAGCAUGAAAAAAAAAAAAAAAAAAUAGCUCACUCAGAAAGCUGCGAGAAGUGACAAAGCAAGUUCUUUGAUCAUGUAUGUAUAGGGGGGACCCCUGGCAUUCUGUGCUAUUCUAAAGGGUUUCAACUUUCUUCCAAAGGAGAUGGAAAAUUAUUGAGGCUGUUUAGAGCUGGCAGUGACACGAAGCAGGUAUUGCAUAGGCGAGGAGUUAUGCGUCCAGGCUGAUGACUAAGUUUCUCUCUUGAGUCUAUGUGUAGGUGAUGGCAAUGCAGCUCCCAGAAGUACCCAAAGAAAAGGCUGCCUGGGAGAAGAUGAUAAUGAGCCACACAUGGAGUAUGUUAAAUUCAAGGACACACGAGAU
rnacentral:lncRNA from 1 species